GUCCCUGUAGCGCAAUGGAUAACGCGUUGGACUUCUAAUUUAAACGUCAUGGCUUCGAAUUCCAUUUGGGAUG